UACGGAGGGUGCAAGCGUUAUCCGGAUUCAUUGGGCGUAAAGGGUGCGUAGGCGGCGCGGUAAGUCGGGUGUGAAAUCUUGGAGCUUAACUCCGAAACUGCAUUCGAUACUGCCGUGCUUGAGGACUGGAGAGGAGACUGGAAUUUUACGGUGUAGCGGUGAAAUGCGUAGAUAUCGUAAGGAAGACCAGUGGCGAAGGCGGGGUCUCUGGACAGUUCCUGA
rnacentral:rRNA from 1 species